UACGUAGGGGGCUAGCGUUGUCCGGAUUUAUUGGGCGUAAAGAGCGUGUAGGCGGCCCUGUAAGUCCGUUGUGAAAGUCGAGGGCUCAACCCUCGAAUGCCGGUGGAUACUGUCGGGCUAGAGUGCGGAAGAGGCGAGUGGAAUUCCCGGUGUAGCGGUGAAAUGCGUAGAGAUCGGGAGGAACACCAGAGGCGAAGGCGGCUAGCUGGACAGUGACUGACACUCAACAACGAAAGCGUGGGGAGCAAACAGG
rnacentral:rRNA from 1 species